AGUGAACGCUGGCGGUAGGCCUAACACAUGCAAGUCGAACGGCAGCACAGUAAGAGCUUGCUCUUACGGGUGGCGAGUGGCGGACGGGUGAGGAAUACAUCGGAAUCUACUUUUUCGUGGGGGAUAACGUAGGGAAACUUACGCUAAUACCGCAUACGACAUACGGGUGAAAGCAGGGGAUCUUCGGACCUUGCGCGAUUGAAUGAGCCGAUGUCGGAUUAGCUAGUUGGCGGGGUAAAGGCCCACCAAGGCGACGAUCCGUAGCUGGUCUGAGAGGAUGAUCAGCCACACUGGAACUGAGACACGGUCCAGACUCCUACGGGAGGCAGCAGUGGGGAAUAUUGGACAAUGGGCGCAAGCCUGAUCCAGCCAUACCGCGUGGGUGAAGAAGGCCUUUGGGUUGUAAAGCCCUUUUGUUGGGAAAGAAAAGCAGCAGGUUAAUACCCCGCUGUUCUGACGGUACCCAAAGAAUAAGCACCGGCUAACUUCGUG
rnacentral:rRNA from 1 species